AGUUAGUUAGUUAGUUGUCAGGUAGCUAGCUUUUGAGCUACCUAAAUACACUAACACGAUGGCUGUAGCCGUUGUUCAUGUUGCUGUUCUUUUGAUUAACGAGUUUUGCUCGAAACGCUAGCAACAGGCGGACUGUUUAUGUAUUAGAAAAAAACCUGAAAAACCUGAAACCUUACUUUCACUUAAAGCUAACAUAAUGACGUAGCUAGGUUAGCCAGUGAACAUUGGGUACUUGAUAGUAAAACGCCUGUGGCCGUAUUAUCUUCAAAUAACUGUUAACUUUACAUUAGAGAGGACCUAAAUUACUUGAUAAUAACUUAACAUCCACAAUAUGGCAUAGUCAGUGUUUUCAGCUUUAAAUGUAGUUCUGUGUAGGGCUUGUAUAUCGUCCCUUCGAUAGCUCAGUUGGUAGAGCGGAGGACUGUAGAGGCUUCAGUGCUGAAAUCCUUAGGUCGCUGGUUCGAAUCCGGCUCGAAGGAGACUUGUUUUUCAGGUUUUAACCGUAAAUCCUUUCCCCAUGUCGCCAGCUCUUCAGAAACAUCUACCUGACAAGACCUGCACAGUCAGAUUCGUUGUUCCUUCAGUUUGCGUUACGACUUUAGCCUCUACUGUUUGCUGCCAUACUAGGAGCGGCGUUUCUUGGCUAACUGUGAAUGUUGUACAUUAUUGGUUAUAUAUUUAUGGCGAACGUUUAAUUUAAUUAACAGCACCUCAGAGUGGCAGAGUGGCUUCUCAGCCUGGACAUGAAGGUCAGGAAGCUUCUCAUAAACUUAAGACUUGAUGCUGUGUACCUUGGCCACAUCUGUUUGACUUACUUGACCACGCUGCGCACAAGUUCAUAGACCUUCUCCAGUGGAGUGGUGGUACGAAGUGGGCGGAGGAACUCGAUACCCUGACAGGCUGCCAGCAGCUCUAUAGCAAGAACUGAUCACAGAAAGCAUCCACUUGAGCAGACCUGCAAUCUGGGAUGGAUGGUGAUCAGAGUCCAGCAGUGAACGGAAGCGUAAGGCCACCUCUGUCUGUCCUGGGUGGGGACGCAACGAGUGGAUGUCUGCCAGAGGAGACCAAAGUGAGGAAGGAUGGAACAGAUACAUAAUCUUGAAGUCUGAGUACCUCCAGGGUCAGAGCAGCAAUGAUGUCUGCCUGCCGAGCAAUCGCCUGGGCUCGUUCCACAGCCUCCGCCCCCAGAGAGGUGAUCAUCUGGGUCCCAUUGAUCAGAGCAAGACCCUGUGAGGGAAACACAAAGACUGAGAUGGAUGUUUUUUCCACUUGAUGCACUCUAUACUGUGCUGUAUACUUAUAGAUGUGAACUUUAUUCUUGUUUUCGAAAUUCUAUACCUGAAAAACCACAAUGUAUAUCUGAUGAACCCUAGGUCAUCAGUGCAGAGAAAACAAGUAUGAGACAGCAUGGUUGGUUUUAAACUUUACCUCUUUGGGCUUUAGUGAUAUUGGCUUCAGUCCAUGGGCCUCCAGGACCUGGCCAGAGAUGAAAGCAGAAAAAACAUGUAGAAGGUCAAAAGAUCAUCAAAAAGCAAACAUGUAUGUUGUCCUGUUGGAGCUUGUAACCUUUCAACAACCUUUCUUGCAAGUAAAAUACACAUUUCCUACAGCA